ensembl:lncRNA
GCGACAGAUGCUAAAAUUUCAAAGAACCCACGAAGAAGAAGGAAGUCACGUGAUUCAGAGAAAGGCUCGUAAUCAAGUGAUGGUAAAGCCACCAGAUAGUCUAAAAAGUGACAUUUGGGUUUGAAAAUGGAUUAGAAGUCGCUCUUAGCUAACUGAGGGGGAUGCUAACCGGCUAAUAAAGAUUGUAAACGCUGAAUCCUUGAGGAACCGUUUGGGCCGAAUCUUUCCUGACAUGGACGUGAGCAUAGCUGUGUCGCUGAUUCGGGGUCAGAUGGGCACCGUGGUGGAGCGAGCGGUCAACGUUGCCGUGGAGACCGUUUUGGCAGAGAUGCUUAAAGUGGUGGGAGCCAAAUUUGAGGAGCUGAAAACCCAGGUGAUGCUGAUGAAGAGAGACAUGGCGGCUCUGCAGAGGGAGAAGGCGCUGAAGGAGAAGGAGAAUGACAACAUUAGAGCCAAACUGCGAUACACGGAACUGAAGUUGAAGUACUACCGCCAGGGCGUGGAGGAGGAGUUGCAGCAGAGAGCCUCUUCCUCCACUCUGGUCCGAAUUUACCCACCUGGAUUUGCACGAGUGCAGGGGGGCGAGGUCCUUCCUACUGAGCCCUCCCCAUCCUGCUCGGCUCAGAGGACCCCGGAUUCAGUGCUGGUGAAGAGCAGUCAAGAAUGCAGUUCUUCACAGAGCACAUGCAGGCGUGCGAGCAGAGCGGGCUGCCCGUCAGAUACAACAUGUUUGGACUUGAUGGAAUUGCGGCACAACGCUCCUGCAGAACCGCUGGACAGCAGCGCUGAUUUCCUUGCGGAACGUGACGUCUCUCCCACGGGAGGUCCUAUUGAGAGAGAAUGGAGCAUCUCUGUAGGGUCGCAUGCAGACGGCGUGGACGCCAUGGUGACCACUCCCUCCAUCCAGAAUCUGGCCAAUGAUUCAGGUCCUCCUCCAACAGGCAGCUCGCCAUCUCCACCAGCUAACAGCUGGAGCACGCCCUCCACUGCUGCACAGGUGAAGCAGGAGCUCCAUCCACAGGAGGAGGAGGAGGAGGAAGUGAUCUGCAUCAAAGAGGAGCCAGAGGAGCAGGAGGUGAUGCAGCAGAGUUAUCCUCCACAGUCAGAGGCUCCACUGUUGAUGUCAGAGAGGAAACCUUCAACAAGUCAGAUGAACCUGAACGUCUCCGUCAGCUCUGGAGGAUCAAAUACCUACGCUGCUUCUCAGCUGGCUGCCUCCCUGCCCCCGGGGGCGUUGCCCCGCCAGGCGCCGCAGCCUUGGACCAAAGACCUCAGCUUCUACGACGAGUUCAAGCUCCGCAGGAACGAGCUACGGCGGCGAAACCUGACCCGUCAGAGAGAACUGGAGAAGGAGCUACCUCAGCCGCUGCUGGCAAAUCUGGUGCAAGAGCGCCGAGAGAAGACCAGGCUGAGGGUGGCCAGAUGGAGAGCCAAGAGGAAACUGCAGGCUUAUCUGAACCAGACUCAGGCUCAGGCUGGAGCUGCUGCUGCUUCUCCUUCAGGAUUUCCAGGUCAGCAGCUUUCAGCUCCUUCUGCUUCCAGGAACCAGCAGAGGCAGAACGCCGGCAGCUUCCUCUGCAACACGGCUGCCAACAACAUGCCUGUCAUCCUCCCCCUCAUCUCCGCCUCGUCCUCCCCCCUCAUCCUGCAAUGUCCCAGCAUGCUCCCAAACGACCAGAGCGUGCCUUCGUCAUCCUCCUCCUCUUCCUCUUCAUACACGCAGUUCCGCCACACCAGGUGA